ACCGUUAUGGAUGACGGUUGUUUAAUGCGAUAACGAGUUUUGUCCAUGAUAAAACCCAUCGUUCAGCAUCGUACAAGUAUGGACGAUGCUGAACAGAA
rnacentral:sRNA from 1 species